rnacentral:lncRNA from 1 species
CAAACUGACACAGGAACAGAAAACCAAAUACCACAUGUUCUCACUUGUAAGUGCGAGCUAAAUGAUAAGAAAUCAUGAACAACAUAGGUUGGAAACAAGACACUGGGGUCUACUUGAUGGGGGAGGGUGGGAGGAGGGAGAGGAGCAGAAAGGAUAACUAUUGGGUACUGGGCUUAGUACCUGCGUGAUGAAAAAAUCUGUACGACAAGGACCCCGUGAUGCAAGUUUCCCUUCACAUGUACCCCAAACCUAAAAUAACAGUUAAAAAAAAGUUUACUUGAGCCAAGUUGAGAGGACAGCCACCUGGAAGACUCAGACCCAGGUCACCUUGGAUAUGAGCUCUGUUAGGCCUUUGACAGAAGCAGGUUUUCCAAAGCAAUAAGAGGGACAGGGAGUGGGCUGAUACAGCUGUUUGUCAGGAAUUCCCAUUGGUUAGACAAAUAAGAUUGAUUAGUGAUUGACUAUACAUUGGUGAACUGUGGGGUAUGGAGUAUGGUGUCCAGUGAGUGGCCUUGCUUGGUUAGUUGAUAGCUGCUUGUGGCAGCAGCUGGUCUAGAGCCCACAUAGCAAGCAGCUUCAAGAGCUGAUUACUUAGCUCAAGGCGGGUGGUGGGAUGGACUGCUGCCUCACUCUCAUGCCUCUGUGGGUCUAUAAUUUAUAGCAGGCUUGCAUUCCUCAGAUAAAGUUUCUUUUCUUUCUCAAUUUCUAUACAGAGAUCCCUCAAGUUGCAGGAAAUAUGGACAGGUACUCAGGCCUUUUGAUUUCCAGCACACAAGUUUCUAUACCCUUGCCAACAGUUAGCUGCCUGAUCUUUUCUAAAAGGGCUCAAUGAAUGCAAACGUCAAACUUCUCUUUGCAGCUAGAUCCAAAUGAUCACCCUGCAUUAGUCUGUUCUCACACUGCUCUAAAGAAAUACCUGGCUAAUUUAUUAAAAAAAGAGUUUUUUGUUUGUUUGUUUUUAGGCUCACUGCAAACUCCGCCUCCCGGGUUCAAGUGAUUCUCCUGCCUCAGCUUCUCCAGUAGCUGGAACUACAGGUGCCCACCACCACACCCGGCUAAUUUUUGUAUUUUUAGUAGAAACAGGGUUUCACCAUGUUGGCCAGGCUGGUUUCAAACCCCUGACCUCGUGAUCCACCCUCCACGGCCUCCCAAAGUGCUGGGAUUACAGGCGUGAGCCACCGCGCCUGGCAAGAAAAGAGGUUUAAUUGGCUCACGAUUCUGUAGGCUGUACAGGAAGCAUAGCAGCUUCUGCUUCUCCGGAGGUCUCAGGAAACUUUCAAUCAUGGUGGAAGGCAGAGGGGAAGCAGGCAUCUUACAUGGCUGGAGCAGAAGGAAGAGAGAGAAGGGGAAGGUGUUCCACACUUUUCAAACAAGCAGAUCUCAUGAGAACUCACUUUACAGUACCGAGGGGGGAUGCUGUUAAGGUGUUCAUGAGAACUCCGCGCCGUGAUCCAAUCACCUCCCACCAGGCCCCAUCUCCAAUACUGGGGAUUCCAAUUCCCCAUGAGAUUUGGUCGGGGUACACAGAUCCAAACUGAAGCAGAAAAAUAGGGUCUGGAAGCAGGGAACAUAAGGCCGAUUCACACUUCAGCUAUUACAGGAAAUAUCCUCUCCACAGGGUGCACACCGAGUAAAAGACUGUGUAUCUUUACUUCAUCCUCUUCAUUUACACAGGGUGCACCCAAAGUAACCAAUGGAAUAUAACCUCUAGAGGGUAUCUAAACUCCCAGAAAUUCUGUAACGGGGCCUUAGAGCCCCUCUGUUCAGCCCUGCUCCCACACUGUGGAGUGUACUUUCAUUUUCUUUUCUUUUUUUUCUUUUUUUUGAGACAGAGUCUUGCCCUGUCACCCAGGCUGGAGUACAGUGGUCUGAUCUCGGCUCACUGCAACCUCUGCCUCCCAGGUUCAAGCAAUUCUCUGCCUCAGCCUCCCGAAUAGUUGGGAUUACAGGCGCCCGCCAUCUCACCCAGCUAAUUUUUGUAUUUUUAGUAGACACGGGGUUUCACCAUCUUGGCCAGUCUGGUCUUGAACUCCUGACAUCAGGGUGAUCCACCCACCUCGGCCUCCCAAAGUGCUGGGAUUACAGGCUUGAGCCACUGCGCCCAGCUGUGUACUUUGAUUUUCAAUAAAUCCCUUCAUUCCUUCCUUAUUUUGUUUGUGCCUUUUGUCUAAUUCUUUGUUCAAGACACCAAGAAACUGGACACCCUCCACCGGUAACAUAUUUUGGCGAGCCAGCCAGGAGAAGGUAGGCCCAAAGUUUGGGAUUUAUUUUUCUCCUUUCCCCUUUUACAUACAGGGAGAUUUUUCUCUGUCUGUCUGUUCCUUUCCACCUCGGGACCCUUGGUGGGAAGCGCAGAAACAUGGAAGCAACUGCAGGUUUCUGGCUGUGACCAGUGAAAUAAGGGGUUUCCAUGUGGAGGUGCCUAACCACCACCACCCUAUUCACUUAAGGGACCUGAGUGUUUUUCUUUUUUCUUUUCCUUUGUUUGUUUUUCAGUCUUUUAGCGGCUGUUUCCUAGUAGCUUCUUGGAAAUUGAGGGCAAUUCGCUGGGGUCACUCCCUGGUAUCGCCUGAAGGCCAAAGAGUGAAUGGGAAUAAUUGCCCUACCCAGAAGGGGGAAUGACUCUUUUUUUUUUUUAUCUUUUCCAGGUGUGGUCCCUGAUCCCUACGGUGGUGGUGGUAACUCACACUUGUUUCAGUUCUGAAACUGCUCUUCCUGCUGCUGGAGCCCCCACCCCUGCUCCAUUUUGAAGUAGCUGAUCCGGAUCAGCUUAGAUUGUGCCAAGUUUCAAGAAAAAGAUGAAAUAUGAGUUGCAUUUUGACAAAUGAAGAGGAUGUGAAGGGCAGAAGGAGCAGAAACUACCAGCAGAGAUGCUAAGAUGAAAGGCACAGAGUGCAAGUUGGAUUGAAAAAACAAGACCUAUCCGAGUGCUGACUUCAAAAGACUCAUCUCAUACAUAAUGACACCCAUAGGCUCAAAGUAAAGGAUUGGAUAAAUAUUUAUUAUGCAAAUGGAAAACAAAACAAAAAAAAGA